GGGAUAAGAAACUAAAUAGGAUUCCCUUAGUAAUGGCGAAUGAACAGGGAUGAGCUCAACAUGGAAAUUUUGGCUCCUGGCCACGAAUUGUAAUCUCUCGACGCGCUGCCAGCAGGGGCGUAGAUGUAAGCCGCUUGGAAAAGCGAAUCACUGAGGGUGAGAAUCCUGUUCGUCAUCUGCAGACCUCUGUGUACGGCACACGUUCUAAGAGUCACGUUCCUUGGGAUUGGAGCGCAAAUUGGGUGGUAAAUUUCAUCUAAAGCUAAAUAUGGGUUCGAGACCGAUAGCAAACAAGUACCAUGAGCGAAAGAUGAAAAGGACUUUGAAAAGAGAGUUAAAAGUGCCUGAACUUGCUGAAAGGAAAGCGGAUGGAACCAGUUUUGCUUGGUGAGAUUGUCGCACGCAGCAAUGAUCACCUUCUAUUCCAGCGAAAGGCGGCGGGUGGGCUGUGAUUUGUUCGGUGUGAUGUUUCUUGCCUUGUGUGUCAUCAUCAGUUUGGAGGUGGGGACAACUCUUGGGACCUGGUAGCUCGCCCCGUGGGUGAGUGAAUGUGCCUUGCGGGACCCACCAACAAACAGUUCAACCUUUGUGGGGCUGCGUUGCUUCGUGUUGCGUGCUCUGGCGAGCUUCACACGCGUGGCACCUUCCUUACAAGCUAAUGGUGACGAAAUGGUUCUAUUCGACCCG
rnacentral:rRNA from 1 species